rnacentral:lncRNA from 1 species
GAGUUUGGGGUCAGGAUUUGGGGUCAGAGUUGGGGAUUUUGGGGAGAUUUGGGGUUCAGGAUUUGGGAUUUGGGGUCGGGAUUUGGGGUUCAGGAUUUGGGAUUUAUGGGGUUUGGGGUCAGGAUUUGGGGUCGGAAUUUUAGGAUUUGGGGGAUUUGGGAUGGUCCAAAGGGAUUUAGGAACACCCAGGAUGGAUUUGGGAUGGUCC